UACGUAGGGUGCAAGCGUUAAUCGGAAUUACUGGGCGUAAAGGGCGCGUAGGCGGCCUGUUAAGUCGAACGUGAAAUCCCUGGGCUCAACCCAGGAACUGCGUCCGAUACUGGCAGGCUUGAAUCCGGGAGAGGGAUGCGGAAUUCCAGGUGUAGCGGUGAAAUGCGUAGAUAUCUGGAGGAACACCGGUGGCGAAGGCGGCAUCCUGGACCGGCAUUGACGCUGAGGCGCGAAAGCCAGGGGAGCAAACGGG
rnacentral:rRNA from 1 species